UCCGGUUUGUCACCGGCAGUCUCAUAUGAGUCCCCGGCCGAACCGCUGGCAACAUAUGACGGGGGUUGCGCUCGUUGCGGGACUUAACCCAACAUCUCACGACACGAGCUGACGACAGCCGUGCACCACCUGUGAUCGCGCCCCGAAGGGAAGAUGUGUUUCCACACCGGUCGCGAACAUGUCAAGCCCAGGUAAGGUUCUUCGCGUUGCGUCGAAUUAAACCACAUGCUCCACCGCUUGUGCGGGUCCCCGUCAAUUCCUUUGAGUUUCAGUCUUGCGACCGUACUCCCCAGGCGGAAUGCUUAUAGCGUUAGCGACGGCACCCGGGGACUAUCUAACCCCGGACACCAAGCAUUCAUCGUUUAAGGCUAGGACUAC
rnacentral:misc_RNA from 1 species